UUGCGGGGGCAGCUACCAUGCAGUCGAGCGAGCUCUUCGGAGCUAGCGGCGGACGGGUUAGUAACGCGUGGGAACGUGCCCUUCACUGCGGAAUAGCCACUGGAAACGGUGAGUAAUACCGCAUACGCCCUUCGGGGGAAAGAUUUAUCGGUGAAGGAUCGGCCCGCGUUAGAUUAGAUAGUUGGUGGGGUAACGGCCUACCAAGUCUACGAUCUAUAGCUGGUUUUAGAGGAUGAUCAGCAACACUGGGACUGAGACACGGCCCAGACUCCUACGGGAGGCAGCAGUGGGGAAUCUUGGACAAUGGGCGCAAGCCUGAUCCAGCCAUGCCGCGUGAGUGAUGAAGGCCUUAGGGUCGUAAAGCUCUUUCGCCAGAGAUGAUAAUGACAGUAUCUGGUAAAGAAACCCCGGCUAACUCCGUGCCAGCAGCCGCGGUAAUACGGAGGGGGUUAGCGUUGUUCGGAAUUACUGGGCGUAAAGCGCACGUAGGCGGAUCAGAAAGUUGGGGGUGAAAUCCCGGGGCUCAACCCCGGAACUGCCUCCAAAACUCCUGGUCUUGAGUUCGAGAGAGGUGAGUGGAAUUCCGAGUGUAGAGGUGAAAUUCGUAGAUAUUCGGAGGAACACCAGUGGCGAAGGCGGCUCACUGGCUCGAUACUGACGCUGAGGUGCGAAAGUGUGGGGAGCAAACAGGAUUAGAUACCCUGGUAGUC
rnacentral:rRNA from 1 species